rnacentral:rRNA from 1 species
UACGUAGGGCGCAAGCGUUGUCCGGAAUUAUUGGGCGUAAAGAGCUCGUAGGCGGCUUGUCGCGUCGGCUGUGAAAACCCGGGGCUCAACCCCGGGCCUGCAGUCGAUACGGGCAGGCUAGAGUCCGGCAGGGGAGACUGGAACUCCUGGUGUAGCGGUGAAAUGCGCAGAUAUCAGGAGGAACACCGGUGGCGAAGGCGGGUCUCUGGGCCGUUACUGACGCUGAGGAGCGAAAGCAUGGGGAGCGAACAGG